UUGUUUUUUUAUUACUGUAAUUAUACUUUUUUUACUGUAAGUCUAUGUAAUAAUGUUAUAAAACUGGGAAUUCUAAUAAAAUUUUGCAUAGACUAUGUCACGUGGGGCCAAAAUUAAGCAGGUCCUAUCAGCCGCCAAUGAAGGACAAAAUAUCAAUGUGAAAAGAUUAGCGAGGGCGGAGCGCGCGGGGAGGAAAAAUUCUCAGUGCCUUACGCGGGGUGUCAAAUUUCGAUCGAUUUAACCCUGCAUCGAACACAAAGACCUAACCACGUCCCUUCUCCCACUCCGUGCGCCGCCCCCAUCCGAUCGUGGCCGCCCGCAUCCCUCCUACUCCUCCUCGAGCCUCCUGCAUCGCAUACUCAUAGCAGCGCCGUCCAGAUCCGUCAAAGACGGUGAGUCGCCCUUCUCUCAUAGCAGGGGCGCCAAUCUCUUCGUCCUCGUCCUCAUCCACAAUAGACGCUGCAUGGAUCUCCACAGACGGCGCACUGGUGACGCGGGUCUGGACGAGGCCGGCAUCAGUGGCCUUUAUCGAGACCAAGAACUCAUGGAGCUUCAGAUCUCCAUCAGACCUAUCUGUAAGGGAAUACGUGGUGCCGGGAUUGUCCUUGGUGGGGUGGCGACAAUGCGUUCAGGUCCACUCACGCCUGGCUGUUGCUGCACGUUCAAGCAUGAGCAGUCCCGUCGUUGGCAUCACAGGACGAGUGGCAGCCUAGAAGCAGUUUCUAUCAUAGACGACGGGCUCAGAUUCUUGUGCAUAAAAAACAUUAUGCACGCCAUGGAUGCAUGUGAAUAUAUUUAUAGUCUAUACCGUCGUGUGUUGGAUGUGGUACUUUUUACAUGUUGGAGUAGUACUAAUAAGUCUCUAAUUAAUCCAGGAAUUCAGCGUGCGUGCGUAGUGUGUUGUAUCUAGCAAGAACCGAUCAGUCUGAUGGAUCAUGUCAAAGAGGAAUUGCCAUCCUUUGUCGUCAUCAUGGUCGCCCCAUGCCGAAAAGUACUCGCGUAUGAAUGGGGCCAAGUCGGCGAAUUGUCAUCAGCGAGCUAGAACGUUCUCAUAUAUUUCUACAAAUGUAUAUAUAUCUUCCAUGCGACAAGUAUCUUCUAUUCUCAUGAUGCUGAUUAAGUGUUGUAGGAGAUAGUUGCGCAAAAGAUGUAAAUUUGACAUUUAAGGUUCACUCACAUAUAUUUUCUCAAAAGAUAAGGGAUAUAAAAUAUAGAAUCUUCCAACUUUCGGAGACAAUGUGUCUUUGAAGGGGAAAGUCUAAAUGUUGGACAAAGCAUAUUGGACUACAAAGUUAUCCAAGCAGCAAGAGGAAGUAGCAAGAUCCAAAAAACUAGUUGGACUGGACUCUACAUCAUGGAUAGUUUAGUCUUCGUAGUUAAUUAGGAUGGCUAAAUUACAUUUGAGUUUCAUUUGAUGGAUAUUUGUUAUGAGAAUUAUGAAUUUUUUGAAUCUACAUAUCAUACAUAUGGUUUUGAAUA